rnacentral:lncRNA from 1 species
UUUUUCGGUAUUCAGACUGACUCUCACCGUACCAGACGGAUUCUUCUUUCAAGACUACCUCUUUGCCGAUUCUGACCGACAUUGUUACUUCACUUCACUUCAGUGAAAAUUUUUGGGCUUUUAUUGUAUUCAAUCCCUUGAUACCUCGAAAGCACGAAAGCCGAUGCUAUCUUCUUUCCAGGUCUCCAGUUGAUUGAAUAGGGGAAGCUGUAAUACCCCAAAAUUUAUCCUUCAUUUUUCC